GUGGGGAAUAUUGGACAAUGGGCGAAAGCCUGAUCCAGCCAUGCCGCGUGUGUGAAGAAGGUCUUCGGAUUGUAAAGCACUUUAAGUUGGGAGGAAGGGCAGUAAGUUAAUACCUUGCUGUUUUGACGUUACCGACAGAAUAAGCACCGGCUAACUUCGUGCCAGCAGCCGCGGUAAUACGAAGGGUGCAAGCGUUAAUCGGAAUUACUGGGCGUAAAGCGCGCGUAGGUGGUUUUGUAAGUUGGAGGUGAAAUCCCCGGUCUCAACCUGGGAACUGCCUCCAAAACUGCAUGACUAGAGUACAGAAGAGGGUAGUGGAAUUUCCUGUGUAGCGGUGAAAUGCGUAGAUAUAGGAAGGAACACCAGUGGCGAAGGCGACUACCUGGACUGAUACUGACACUGAGGUGCGAAAGCGUGGGGAGCAAACAGGAUUAGAAACCCCUGUAGUCC
rnacentral:rRNA from 1 species